ACGGUAAGUCCCUGAUCUCCCAGUGGUGGUUUUGGAGGUCCCAACACCUCUUUCCUGUAGGCAGCACCAAAUCUACCAAUUUUUGUCACCACAGCAGCAACAGCUGGAAAGCAGUGCCAGUUGUGUGGAAUCCAAGGGGCACUCUAGCUUUGCCCACAGGCCAAGGUUGGAGACACAAACUUCUCCACAUGUGGAGUUUUGGUUUACCAUCUUCAAGAAAUGCAUUGGGCUGAAUUAAACCCUAAACUGGCAAAGAAAGAGUUGUCAGGAGCUGCUGGGGAGGGCAGUCAGUGGCGAGUGGCAGCACCUGGAGCUGCUGACAUUUUAAGUAGGUACACCUGCAGGGGACUUCUCCCUGGAAAGUGCCUUCAGAGCUGCUCUUCUAAGAGAAGGUUUGGAUUGAAGUUUAGGAUCAAAUUUGGUACUGAGAAGAGGCUUAUGUUAGAUCUGCUUCUACCUGGACAAUUUGGCUUACAGUCUGAAUCUAACUUCAGAGAUUUUAAUGGUGGUCACAAAUCAGGUCUUUACGGCUAGCAGGGAGACUACUAUGAUUUCAGCUGCAAUAUUUGAUGGAUAAAUCCCUUAUCCCAUCUGCUUGCUUAAUCCAGGAUUCUGAAAUGCAAAUGAUCAGAAAAGGCCUGUUAGGAUAUUGUUGCAGAACUGUUGAGGUGACCAAACCAAGUCUGGUAUCUGCUACUUUUGGGAGCAGUCCCUGAAGAGAAUUUUUGCUAGCACGUGCCUGGAUGUGGUACUGGAGAAGUCCAGAAAUUAUCAGGGACUGUACUGUCAGAAAUGCAUGCCUAAAGAUGGUGUAGAAGGGAGUUUCCAGACCUGGAAUCUGUGUUGAGCUUCAGCAUGCUCUCCCGAGGGAGCCAUUUUUAUCUGCACAUAGACCUGGGUCCCCAAACAGAAGUCUUCUCAUCCCUCCAGUGACAGCAGAGUCCAGCUAUAAGGGACUGCAUGAUGUUCUCUGCACAGCUCUAGCUUGGAUUGAGCAGGAUAUACUAGCCUUAUUCACGAGGGAGCUAGUUUUAGUCUCAUCGCUGGUUUGGUUGUUUGUUUUUUUUUUUUUUUUUUUUUUUUUUUUGAGACACUGGGUGAUCUCAUCAAAGGAAAUCCCACACUGGUUAUUAUUAAUCUUGGAUACCAAACAUUCACACUGUGCUUUUACUUUUCCGUUGACAUCCAGAGUCCUGUCAGUAUUUGACUACUUAAGGAUGGUGCUUUUGAUGGAAAAGGAAUUGAUUUAGUACAAGCUGAGUAGGAAACUAUGGCUAUCAUAAGCUUUAGUGAAAUCUGAAGGAAAUUUGUCAUGAUUCAUCCACGGUUUUUAAUAUGACAAGAUCCAGAUCCAUACAAAAGAACACCUGGCCUGCUGUUGAGCAUCUGUCUUGAGAACAACGUUUGCCCACGUUUGUUGCUCUAGCAACAAGUCUGAACAUGGAUCACUAUUUUUUAAAACAACACAAGAAAUAACAGAUACUGCUAUGGGAACUUUUCUGUCAUAAAGGAAAUUAUAUUUGCUCUACAAACAUUGAGUUCUCCCACUUUUUAAGGACUGGCUGCCACUCUCUGAAUCAUUAAAAAACAAAGAGGCCUGUUUCUCGAUUCUUGAGAAUCUCAAGAUGUGCCAAAACAUACACAGAUUUCAUAUUUUCCAGUAGCUACAAAUCAGACCCUUUCUCUCAAGAAGAUCCCAUUUUAGAACAGUCUCCUAGGUCACUUUAUAAGCGCAAAGUGAACCAACUUUAGAAAGUAAAAUAAUUUGCCUUAUAGGGUGAAAUUCAACCAUCCACUUGAAGCCUUUGCAUCAUAUGUUCUUUAAGGAUAGAUUUGUGAUGAUGACUUGCGCUCUCACUGCUGCACAGCAGUGCUCUUUCAAAAUGAUGCCCUUCCUGGUGCAUGUGUGUGUAUUUGUGAACCAGCACACACAUACAAACAUGCAUGGCUGUACUUUACUGCCUUUGGUUUUGGUCGCUCUGCCCCUCACUCUCCCAACCUUAAUAACCUAUAUAUACAUACAUAUAGAUAUAACCAUACAUAUAUAUAUAUAUAUAUAUAUAUCAGAAAAAGCUGAGAGAAACUUGGACACCAUGAAACACCUGCAUUACAGGAUAUUUCAUAUGCAUUUAUUCUAAUACUUCUGCUGCCUGGGUUCCUGCAUUGUAGAUAGGCCAGCUUGGUUAAUUUUCUCUGUUCCUGUUCUGAUUCCUGGUUUUACACUUCAUCCCCUGGUAAUUCUCAGUCAGAACAAUAGGGAUUUUUUAAGGCUGGACAACAAGGAGGAUAAAAAUGGAGAGGAAGAUGCUUUGAAUCCCAGAGGCUACUCAUUUCUGUCUGAACUGAAUAAAUGGCUGCAUAUAAAUGUGCUUCUUCUUUCAAAAAACAGUUUGCUUUUUUCUACCGACCCUGGGUGAGUCUGGAGUUACCUGAAACUGUUUGUACCCGUUCAGAAACUGCAAGCUUUCCCACCUGAAUUCCUCCCCUGUCAGCUGGAUGGGGCUUUCAGGUGGGUGUUUGUUUCAUUGCGCCUCAAAGAGAUCAGUUCCUGUGCUGAAAGACAAGCCCAAGACAAUGUUUUACAGAGCAGAAGAUAUUGUGAGGGACCAAUUAUCACGUAAGUGGUUCUCACGGCUUGGGCUGGUACUGUGUGCCAGGUUGCACAUUAACUUCUUUCACUGCUUUUUACCCAGUUUACUCAACAUUCUCAAGUGGUGGCUUUGUCAAUUGUUUCUCCUACUGAUAUUUUGACAGACGAUAGCGCCUUGAUGCCAGCUUACUCCAGCUAAUAAGAAAUAGGCCAGCGUGAAACUUUAGACCAAGUGACUGCUCUCAUGGGAUGGAGGAGCAAGUAGGGUUGGUCCUGCUUUAGGACAGUUAUUAAUUUUCAUCUGGCAAAUAGAUCUUCCAACCCAGCUCUUGGAAUAUACUUUGUAUGUACACCUUUAAAAACAAACAAAAAUUCCCAACAAUUUCAAUACAGUGACGUUUUUUUUUUCUCUGCAACACCAUCCUUAAAUAUCCUCUAAUGAAUGUUAGGAUGCAUUUAGGGAGUAUGUUUGAGUCAUAUGAGCGCAAAUGUAUUUCAAGAAGAUUUAUAGUCUUUCAUUGAUUCCGAAGGAAUGUAUAAUGACCAGACAAUUUUCAGUGUAGUUUUCUGAUAUAAAUCUUACCAAAAUGCUGACACAGUGUUAUUAACACUCGGGCUGGUAUUGCUACAAAGUGGUGAGAUUUAUGUGGAUGAUAAAACAGGGAUCCUGUGAAAGCA